AGUGAACGCUGGCGGUAGGCCUAACACAUGCAAGUCGAACGGCAGCACAGUAAGAGCUUGCUCUUACGGGUGGCGAGUGGCGGACGGGUGAGGAAUACAUCGGAAUCUACUUUUUCGUGGGGGAUAACGUAGGGAAACUUACGCUAAUACCGCAUACGACCUACGGGUGAAAUCAGGGGAUCUUCGGACCUUGCGCGAUUGAAUGAGCCGAUGUCGGAUUAGCUAGUUGGCGGGGUAAAGGCCCACCAAGGCGACGAUCCGUAGCUGGUCUGAGAGGAUGAUCAGCCACACUGGAACUGAGACACGGUCCAGACUCCUACGGGAGGCAGCAGUGGGGAAUAUUGGACAAUGGGCGCAAGCCUGAUCCAGCCAUACCGCGUGGGUGAAGAAGGCCUUCGGGUUGUAAAGCCCUUUUGUUGGGAAAGAAAAGCAGCAGGUUAAUACCCCGCUGUUCUGACGGUACCCAAAGAAUAAGCACCGGCUAACUUCGU
rnacentral:rRNA from 1 species